ACCUUGGUGGUGUAGUGGUAGCACGGGUGCCCGGUAUGGACUAGAUACGGUUUCGACUCCCGCCUUUGGUC